GAAAUGCGAUAAGUAAUGUGAAUUGCAGAAUUCAGUGAAUCAUCGAAUCUUUGAACGCACAUUGCGCCUAUUAGUAUUCUAGUAGGCAUGCCUGUUCGAGCGUCAUUUCAACCCUCAAGCCCUGGUUGCUUGGUGUUGGGAGCUUGCUGUGAAACGCAACUCCUCAAAGCUAGCUGGCAGAGUCGGGAUGCACUCUAAGCGUAGUAAACUUGAUAGUCUCGCUUCUGCAGUUGUCCCCCCCGUCUUUGACCUCGGAUCAGGUAGGGAUACCCGCUGAACUUAAGC
rnacentral:misc_RNA from 1 species